GCGGCCCUCGCCCCACCCGAACCGCCCCCAGCCCGCCGAGAGGAGGGCAAGGGGCAGCGCCGGGGGGCGGGGCGCGGCUGGGACCGGCGCUGUCCAGCAGGGACCGGCCCCAGUGCCACCGCACAGCACCCAAGGCCACGCCCAGCGCGGCAGGCGGAGGGCAGGAGACUCGCUGCUUCCCCCCGCCUCAGAGAGGGGACAGAGGGCAACACACUCCCCCUCACCCUGCAGGAGACUAAGCCCAGACUGGCUUCCCUUAAAAUCCAGCCGGGGGAAGGAAGGAUUGUCCUCCUCCUCCUCCCCCUGUAAAUGAGACGUGGCAGGGGACAAACUCUAGCAACAAGGGGAGACGUUAGAGGUGAUCAACAGGUUUUUUGUUUUUUAAAUGAAACAAGUCACACUGGAAGAGGUGGUACAGAACGGGACAGUCACACCUAAAUAUCCCACCCUCUCUGUUUACUCUUGACUAUUUGUUUUCACUGGAGGUGGGGGAAGAGUACUCCAUCGGAGCAAGAGGUGCAGGCAGAGUCGACGGGGGAGCACCAGCAGUCGACUUACUGCAGUGAAGACACCGCACAUUCUGUUUCACAUCAAGGGCAGCAACAGCUGCCCCACUUUGCUGUGCCAAGUGAUCCAGGAAGCAGUAGCAUACAACAAUGAACGAGAGCUUCAGAUCUGCUGGGGCUGCGGCUUCUCUACACAUCACCUGGAGCUUGAAGAGUACUCACUUGCCAUACAAAUUUGCUUAUAAAGAGAAGUGGAGGAAAAAAAAUGCCAUGAAGAUGACAAAACCACUUUUGAGCAAACUCACUCCCUUCAUCUGACUCACACAUGAUUAGUAACGCAUGCAAACAAAUAAAAACGAGGAAGCAAACUGCUAAAGGCAAGCGAAUUUCGAGAGCAUUGACUUUCGCCGUUGGUCUUGGCCGGAGUUUUGCCAAAGAGAGAAACAAGACCCCGCUCUGCGCGCUCUCAAGGAAUAAAGAAAGGAGCUGCGCCGUCUUCAUUGAAUCUAUUUGUGAUGCGGUCAAGGAGAAGAUGAGCUAACGGAAAAAACGGUAUAUCUCAUCAGCUGGGAACAACAAAACUCCAAGCCCGUCAAUUUCCAGAGGGUAACAUGAAUAAAUGUGUCUAAUCGAGUCUUCAGAUCUGGUUUAUUCAUGCAGUCUUUUGAUUCGUUUGGGACUUUCAGAAUGUCUUCCAAGCCUUUUCCCCGAGAACAAUCAGCCUAUUUGUAGGUUAACAAACAAAAGAAAGGAAGGAUACACAGCAAAGAAAAUGAAACAGGCCAGAGCAUCCAGAAAUUAGCUCCAGCAAAUACUAGGUCAUCGCUGGAAAUCAGCCUAUUAGGCCUGUGUAAUGAGUGAAGCUAGGUUUAUAUUGAUCGUUUAGAUCAAGUGCAGUAUUGCUUGGAAAACUGGGAGUGGUUAAUAUUUAAAAAAUGUAAUAGACUAUGAGAUUUGAUGAGCUCAAGUGAAGAGUUACAUGCAACAGCAGACUGAAGAUUUAAAAGAUAUUCCUGAACUGUUUAUUUUAAAAUUAUAAGUUAAAAAUCAAUUCAUUACCUGUAUUACAUUAGAACUGCGGGUUUUUAAAUGGGAUUUAUUUUUUACAUUAAUGCUGUUUCUCUACUUUUAGUAUUUAAUUCACCUUAGACAAGGAAAAUAAACUAACCCCCUCAUCUUUCAAAGACAUGCACCUGUUUAACUUUACACCCUCUAAGCAGUCUCACCGAAGUCACAGGACUUCUCAGAGUGCAUACAUUUACGUAUGUGAAUAAGUUCUUGCAGGAUCAGGGCCUAAAGCAUACCUUCACCCGUGAUUAGAUAUUAAGGUGAGACAUGGCUUUGAAAACCCUUUGGUCCCAGUCCAGCAAUUGGAUCUACCAGAAUGAACCUUGCUCCCUAGCAAACUACACAACACACUAACACGGUUGCCACUCUGAAACAAGCACAGGGGAUCACCUACAUCAAUCUGAUUACAGAACACCUAUCAAUCUGAUUACAGA